rnacentral:lncRNA from 1 species
UCAGAUAAGAGUUGUUGUGCUUCAGACUGCUUGUGAUACAGGAUAUAAUGUAGUAUUGUGGGGAGAAAACAGACACACGGAGAUAGUAAAUUUAUUCAGGCAUUUUUCUCAAAGGCUGAGUGCCUUGAAACCUGCUGUGCUCAUAUUCAGACACGGGGUCUUUAUCACCAAUUCAUCUUAGACAUUGUGGAUUGGACUUUUUUUUGCCUGUUAGAAUUUAAGAAAUGGUCAUUAGACGGUGGAAUCACAAAACCAUAUGCUUUUGCUAAAAUGACAACACAUAUGACCAUUAGGAGCUGUGGAAUGCGAUGCUCAGUAUUUACCGUGUGCCGUGCAAUUAAGCUUUUUUCAUCAAGUAUGGAACAGAUGACAAGUCCUAUAAGACCAACUUAUGCUUGAUGUCAAGAAAACCUUGCUAACUCUUAGAGCUGUCCAGAAAUGGAAUGGGCUGUCUCAAGACGUGAUGAAUUCUUCCUUAUUUGAGGUCUUCAAUCAGAAGCUGAUUGCUCACUUGUCAGGUAUGUUAUAGUGAGGAUUCCUUUCUUGUGUAGGUUGGAG